rnacentral:rRNA from 1 species
GAUUAAGUUAUUAAGGGCGCACGGUGGAUGCCUUGGCACUAGAAGCCGAUGAAGGACGUUACUAACGACGAUAUGCUUUGGGGAGCUGUAAGUAAGCUUUGAUCCAGAGAUUUCCGAAUGGGGAAACCCAGCAUGAGUUAUGUCAUGUUAUCGAUAUGUGAAUACAUAGCAUAUCAGAAGGCACACCCGGAGAACUGAAACAUCUUAGUACCCGGAGGAAGAGAAAGAAAAUUCGAUUCCCUUAGUAGCGGCGAGCGAAACGGGAAGAGCCCAAACCAACAAGCUUGCUUGUUGGGGUUGUAGGACACUCUAUACGGAGUUACAAAGGACGACAUUAGACGAAUCAUCUGGAAAGAUGAAUCAAAGAAGGUAAUAAUCCUGUAGUCGAAAAUGUUGUCUCUCUUGAGUGGAUCCUGAGUACGACGGAGCACGUGAAAUUCCGUCGGAAUCUGGGAGGACCAUCUCCUAAGGCUAAAUACUCUCUAGUGACCGAUAGUGAACCAGUACCGUGAGGGAAAGGUGAAAAGCACCCCGGAAGGGGAGUGAAAUAGAACCUGAAACCGUGUGCUUACAAGUAGUCAGAGCCCGUUAAUGGGUGAUGGCGUGCCUUUUGUAGAAUGAACCGGCGAGUUACGAUUUGAUGCAAGGUUAAGCAGUAAAUGUGGAGCCGUAGCGAAAGCGAGUCUGAAUAGGGCGUUUAGUAUUUGGUCGUAGACCCGAAACCAGGUGAUCUACCCUUGGUCAGGUUGAAGUUCAGGUAACACUGAAUGGAGGACCGAACCGACUUACGUUGAAAAGUGAGCGGAUGAACUGAGGGUAGCGGAGAAAUUCCAAUCGAACCUGGAGAUAGCUGGUUCUCUCCGAAAUAGCUUUAGGGCUAGCCUCAAGUGAUGAUUAUUGGAGGUAGAGCACUGUUUGGACGAGGGGCCCCUCUCGGGUUACCGAAUUCAGACAAACUCCGAAUGCCAAUUAAUUUAACUUGGGAGUCAGAACAUGGGUGAUAAGGUCCGUGUUCGAAAGGGAAACAGCCCAGACCACCAGCUAAGGUCCCAAAAUAUAUGUUAAGUGGAAAAGGAUGUGGCGUUGCCCAGACAACUAGGAUGUUGGCUUAGAAGCAGCCAUCAUUUAAAGAGUGCGUAAUAGCUCACUAGUCGAGUGACACUGCGCCGAAAAUGUACCGGGGCUAAACAUAUUACCGAAGCUGUGGAUUGUCCUUUGGACAAUGGUAGGAGAGCGUUCUAAGGGCGUUGAAGCAUGAUCGCAAGGACAUGUGGAGCGCUUAGAAGUGAGAAUGCCGGUGUGAGUAGCGAAAGACGGGUGAGAAUCCCGUCCACCGAUUGACUAAGGUUUCCAGAGGAAGGCUCGUCCGCUCUGGGUUAGUCGGGUCCUAAGCUGAGGCCGACAGGCGUAGGCGAUGGAUAACAGGUUGAUAUUCCUGUACCACCUAUAAUCGUUUUAAUCGAUGGGGGGACGCAGUAGGAUAGGCGAAGCGUGCGAUUGGAUUGCACGUCUAAGCAGUAAGGCUGAGUAUUAGGCAAAUCCGGUACUCGUUAAGGCUGAGCUGUGAUGGGGAGAAGACAUUGGGUCUUCGAGUCGUUGAUUUCACACUGCCGAGAAAAGCCUCUAGAUAGAAAAUAGGUGCCCGUACCGCAAACCGACACAGGUAGUCAAGAUGAGAAUUCUAAGGUGAGCGAGCGAACUCUCGUUAAGGAACUCGGCAAAAUGACCCCGUAACUUCGGGAGAAGGGGUGCUCUUUAGGGUUAACGCCCAGACGAGCCGCAGUGAAUAGGCCCAAGCGACUGUUUAUCAAAAACACAGGUCUCUGCUAAACCGUAAGGUGAUGUAUAGGGGCUGACGCCUGCCCGGUGCUGGAAGGUUAAGAGGAGUGGUUAGCUUCUGCGAAGCUACGAAUCGAAGCCCCAGUAAACGGCGGCCGUAACUAUAACGGUCCUAAGGUAGCGAAAUUCCUUGUCGGGUAAGUUCCGACCCGCACGAAAGGCGUAACGAUUUGGGCACUGUCUCAACGAGAGACUCGGUGAAAUCAUAGUACCUGUGAAGAUGCAGGUUACCCGCGACAGGACGGAAAGACCCCGUGGAGCUUUACUGUAGCCUGAUAUUGAAAUUCGGCACAGCUUGUACAGGAUAGGUAGGAGCCUUUGAAACGUGAGCGCUAGCUUACGUGGAGGCGCUGGUGGGAUACUACCCUAGCUGUGUUGGCUUUCUAACCCGCACCACUUAUCGUGGUGGGAGACAGUGUCAGGCGGGCAGUUUGACUGGGGCGGUCGCCUCCUAAAAGGUAACGGAGGCGCUCAAAGGUUCCCUCAGAAUGGUUGGAAAUCAUUCAUAGAGUGUAAAGGCAUAAGGGAGCUUGACUGCGAGACCUACAAGUCGAGCAGGGUCGAAAGACGGACUUAGUGAUCCGGUGGUUCCGCAUGGAAGGGCCAUCGCUCAACGGAUAAAAGCUACCCCGGGGAUAACAGGCUUAUCUCCCCCAAGAGUUCACAUCGACGGGGAGGUUUGGCACCUCGAUGUCGGCUCAUCGCAUCCUGGGGCUGUAGUCGGUCCCAAGGGUUGGGCUGUUCGCCCAUUAAAGCGGUACGCGAGCUGGGUUCAGAACGUCGUGAGACAGUUCGGUCCCUAUCCGUCGUGGGCGUAGGAAAUUUGAGAGGAGCUGUCCUUAGUACGAGAGGACCGGGAUGGACAUACCUCUGGUGUACCAGUUGUCGUGCCAACGGCAUAGCUGGGUAGCUAUGUGUGGACGGGAUAAGUGCUGAAAGCAUCUAAGCAUGAAGCCCCCCUCAAGAUGAGAUUUCCCAACUUCGGUUAUAAGAUCCCUCAAAGAUGAUGAGGUUAAUAGGUUCGAGGUGGAAGCAUGGUGACAUGUGGAGCUGACGAAUACUAAUCGAUCGAAGACUUAAUCAA